rnacentral:lncRNA from 1 species
AGGAUAAAUUUUACACUUCAAGCCCUGGAAGUGAUUUCACCUGCGUACGAUUAUUUUAUGACGAAGCUGAAAGAAAUAAGUGAGAGAGUUGAGCCUCGGAUGAAUGUACAGAAACUUGCUACCAAAUUUCCGCAGUACUUCAUGUACGAUAGAGUAAAACAGCUGGUGAGCAUUAAAUCAUCUAUACAAGUCCCGAGGGCAAGACAAAAUCCUGAUUAAACUCACUCGAAAAUGCAUGUACAUUGAACAACAGGGUUGCGUAUGACAUAUAAUAUGCAUAAAACGCUGAUCCCUUAAACUUGCAAUCUGGUACUGUAAAUACCAGAUUACAAGUUUUAUUAUUAGCAUGACAAAUUUACUGGAUGCUGAUUGGUUGAGAGGAGUGCAAUUAUUUCAUUAAUUAUUUAUCUUCUGUAAUCAGUGGCAAGUACUGCAAUUUCAUUGGUUUACAGGAGUGCGAUUUGAGCAUUAAUCGCACCUUUUCUGAGCUGUAAUCGCACCCUUGUCUACAGCCAAUGAAAAUCAGUCUAGUAUUUACAACUAGCCAAUCAGCAUUCAGGAUACAAACUUUGAAUUUUAUUUUCUUUAUUGCUGUAAAAAAUUCAAAAUGGAGGAAUUCACAAAUUUUGACCUUUUAAUUUUUAAAUCAGCCCUCGAAAACCGUCAAAAUUGAGGUCGGAAAAAAAAUGCCGACCUAAAUCUGACCUAGCUCGGCACAUCUCGGCAUUUUUUAAAAUCUGUUUCCAUGUCUUGGAGCACUAGUAGCCUGCACUAGUAAUCACGUAUUUACGAAUCAUUGAAAAGUAUAAAUGUCACGAAGUCUUUUCUUUUAGAGUUUUUCCGAAAUUAUAUCAUAAAUAUACCCGUUAAUUCUCAAACCUUACACCAAAGUGCAUCGAAUUCUAUAAUCGCUGACUUUUUAACAGCUAUAAGCACCAAAAAAGAUUAUUACUUUGGCUGAAUUAAGGUCGGCAAAACAUAGGCAUUUUAAUACUGUAGGUCGGCAUUGCCGAAUGGCGAAUGCCGAUCUCGUUUUCGAGGGUUGUUAAAUUAUAUAUUUUCUGACGAAAAUGACCUACCUGUUCAUCCAGCAGAAGACACCGAACUAAACAUAACCAGGAGUUAUAUUUCUAUCCAAUUCAGAUGAUUAAUUGGACUAAAGAACUUCACUAUUUUGAACACGUUAUAAACAUACAAACAUGGCUUCCCAAUUGUGUGUUGAAUAAUUCAAACAAAUGUUGUCAUGUGUUUAUACCGGAUAUAAUGCCCGGAAGUUAAUAAUAUGUUAAUUUGAUUAUAUAUGAUAAACAAUAAUUCAAAAUUGUACUAUUUCACUAAGAAUUGUCGUGACAAAAAUUUAAUAAUUAUAUUGAACUUCAACAAAUUGUAUUUUUCUGCUUUUCCCCUUAAACAGUUUGAUUACAGAAGAUAAAUAAUUAAUAAGUAAUAGAACGAAUUAAAGUCGUACUAUUAAUGCCAUAAUCAUACUCGUGAUUAACAAAUCAACCUCCCGCUACGCGGUCGGUUGAUUUUGUAAUCACUCGUAUGAUUAUGGCAUUAAUAGCACUCCUAUUCGUUCUAUUACCAUCAUUAAUUGUACUGCAGAACAAUUAAUGAUUUUCCCAAAACAAACAAAAUGGCGCAAAUGUAUUUUAAACACAAAUGUGAAAUGAAAUUGCCCAAGAGGAACUAGAUGAAAAUACGAACAAAAGCACCAAAUUUUGCUUUAACAAAAGAACUAAAUGAAAAUACGAACAAAAGCACCGAAUUUUGGUUGAAAGUCUGGCAGGACUGGGCUUUGGCGAGAGAAUAUGAUGUUGACAUUGAGACGUAUCCAAUUUUGUCAUGCUAAUAAUAAACAAGUAAUCAUGCAAUGUUACUCGUACAAUUAGGGAUUAAUAGUACUCGUGCUGUUUGGAAGUUUGCCAAAUUGGACUCGCCCCGGCGGCAAAAUUUCCAAACAUCACUCGUACUAUUUAUCCCUAAUUGUAGUCGCCAUCGCAUAUCUAAUCAACGUACUGUAUCUAAUCAAUGUUAAUUUGGAUGACUUUAAGAUUCCCUAAACCGUCCCCUCCCCACAGCCGCCUACUUUAUCAAAACAGACACCUACUCUGAAUAAUUCUGAAAGCCCUGCUUCUUGUGGAUUUUUAUCAAGUCAUAAAGAUAAUUUACGACAUGGUUCCAAAAUGGAAAUAAGAGUUUGCGUUAGUAUUAGGGUUAGUGUGGGGUUAGGAUUACUGUUAUGUGUGGGAUGAGGGUAAGGUUCACUAUUGUUGCAAGUGGCUGGUUGUUGAUUAUUUUACGUUUUAAUGAUUUUAGAAACUGGCGACCAUCUUGAAAACCUGCCUCUAGUUCAUCCCCUUUAGCCACAACCCUGAAAUUUAAAAUCUAGACUAUAAUAAGAUAUGUUCGUUUACCGUGUAUAACAUUGUAUUGGCAUGAAUGGUGUUAUCGAUUAUUUUAUUUUCUAGGAACUUUGGAAAAUUCAUCGGCACAUAGACGUUCAUCAAGCACAUUGUUGUUCUGAUAUUUAAAUGCAUGAUUGUGGAACUAGAACUGGCUAUUGGAACCCGCCAAAGGUUGAGUAGACUUUCCCAAGAUAUCAGUGUUUCUGCAGACGGGAAAACAUUACAUCAAGUAAACUCAAAAAAGUCUUUUAAUUGAUGAAAAUUUAACCUUGGAUGAGCAAAUCAGUAAAACAGUGUCAAAAGGCAUUGACAUGUUACACCGUGUAAAGCCACAUGUUUCAACCGUAACUCUCAAGUAUCUUUACCAAGCUUUAGUUGAGCCACAUUUUGAUUGUUGUUCUAUGGUGUGGGGCAACUGUGGCGAAACCUUGAAAGGAAAAGCUACAGAAACUUCAAAACCGAGCUGCAUACUGUUACAAGAGUCAUUACAGGUGAUUCAUAUGAAAUCCGCUCCUCGGAUAUUUUGGAAAAAUUAAAUUGGAAAGAGCUUGCGGAACGAAGAAAGGAACAGCAACUAAAAUAUGUAUCGAAAGCUCUUGCAUGCGAAUGUCUUGAGAACAUUUCAUUUAACACGAUACGAGUUAAAAAGUAAUAAUAACACACUGAUGUUGUCGAAGCCCAAAGCCAAUUCAGUGAAAAGAACUUCGAAUAAUGCUGCCAAAGUAUGGAAUCAAAGUAAUAAUACGUGAAGUUUUUUUUAUCUCAUUUGAAGUGUGAGGGGGAGAUAAGGGAGGUUUGGGCGAAGAAAUUGCUAGUAGGGGGAGAGAGGGGGGGAUAUUCUAUAAAAUUUGUUAAUCCUAUUGACCUAUCGCUACAUGCACGGCCUAAUGACGGUUCUGUAUUUUAGCGUAUAGAAUGGUUGACUAGUUACCGUUUUAAAAGAUGUUUU